rnacentral:sRNA from 1 species
UUGCAGCCCGAAUUGAACGGAAAUCCUUUUUUGCUUGUGGUAUAUUUCAAUUAGCAAGAAAGUGAAGCAAAAAAGAUUGGGAGUGGAAGGCGGAUACAGC